GCCAGCGUAGUAUAGUGGUUUGAGUGCUGGACUUUGACUCUGGCGACCAAGGUUCAAAUCCCGGCUCAGCCA